rnacentral:ncRNA from 2 species
AAUAGUUCCUGGGGGUGCCGAAAAGGUCGGCUGAGAUUAAGGACUGAUGAAUCCUUUGACCCUUUAACCUGAUCUGGGUAAUGCCAGCGUAGGGAAGGUGGACAGAUAGCGU